ensembl:snRNA U6 U6 spliceosomal RNA
GUACUUGCUCUAGCAGCACAUAUACUAAAGUUGGAACAAUACAGAGAUUAGUGUGACCCCUGUUCAAGGAUGACAUGAAUUUGUGAAGGACUCCACAUUCCU